CAGCAUUUGUGAUUUCAAUUACAGGCUCAAAAUGGUCAACAGCUGCAGCUCCAGUCCAUACAGCUGCAGCUCCAGUCCAUACAGCUGCAGCUCCAGUCCAUACAGCUGCAGCUCCAGUCCAUACAGCUGCAGCUCCAGUCCAUACAGCUGCAGCUCCAGUCCAUACAGCUGCAGCUCCAGUCCAUAUAGCUGCAGCUCCAGUCCAUAUAGCUGCAGCUCCAGUCCAUACAGCAGCAGCUCCAGUCCAUAUAGCUGCAGCUCCAGUCCAUAUAGCUGCAGCUCCAGUCCAUAUAGCUGCAGCUCCAGUCCAUACAGCAGUAGCUCCAGUCCAUACAGCUGCAGCUCCAGUCCAUACAGCAGCAGCUCCAGUCCGUACAGCAGGCUAUAGGGUGAGUCCUCUGGAGGCCUGGACACUGUUGUUGUGUGCAAAGAGAAUGACCUUCAGGUUGUCCUCCCACCAUUCCCGGAACCCGUCAAGGGACUUGCCCAUGGCAGUCUUGAGGGUGUGGUUGGUUCGUUCAUCCAAACCUGGAGGAGGAGGUAGGAAAGGCAUAUCUAUUGACAAUGGAAGAUAUUAAAAUGUUGGAUUAUGUCAAAUCAAAUUGUAUUUGUCACAUGCUCCAAAUCCAACAGGUAGACCUUUCUGUAAAAUGCUUACUUACAAAGCCCUUAACCAACAAUGCAGUUCAAGAAACAGUUAAGAAAAUAUUUACUAAAUAAACUAAAGUAAAAAUAGUCAAAUAAAAAGUAACACAAUAAAAAUAACAAUAACGGGGCUAUAUAGAGGAGGUACCGGUACCGAGUGGAGGUACAGGUUAGUGACCCCGUGGAAGGUCACUGAUGCCAGGAGAAGUGUGAAGACGGAUGAAAACGUAAAUCAACAAAAUGAAUGUUACUGUGUGAAUGAAAUUGUCAUGUUUGGAUUGUUCAAGAGUUCGUAAAGAGCUAUGAAUGUGGAUAUAUUUCAUUGUACUGCAGAUGCUUUGGAUUUAUAGUUACAGGGAAACUGUGGAAAGUUCAGAGGAAGCAACACACGGGUGCGCUCCUAUCAUUUAAAUAUAGUUGAUUAGAUUAGAAUCUGGUUGUGUUUUCCUUUCUUACAUUUUCCCCUGAGCCAUAUGUGUACCCAAUUCAGCUAAAUGUAAUCCUAUUGAUAAGCUUGAAAUGUUUUCCUAUUUAAUUUGCAUAAGUUAACCAUUGUGAUUAAUGAUAUUUACUAUCUUCUGCUUUUUAUGAAUAAACAGGCAUCAGUAAAAACAACCACAACAAAAGGUUUUGAUGCUCUGCAUAAGGCCCUUUGAUUUUUUAUUUGUUUUCCAUGAAUGACGACUGCAGUGGAAGAAUGAGAGAAGGCGAUGUACUCGCGACUGGUGACUGGCUGGUGUGUGAGGCCCAGCAUGAUGACUCAAUCACGAUGUAUUGCAUUGUCUGGAUGGAAGACCAUCUGUGGCCUUUUACAAGGUCACAAAGCUUGCUGCUGUGAUGGCACAGUAUUUCACCCAGUAGAUAAGAGUGUGGCGAUCUUUAAGAAGAGACGUGAACAUUGAAGUCCUUGGGUCACUGAUGGCAGGAGAGGUGUGAAGACAGAUGAAAAGGUGAAUCAGCGAAAUGAAUGUUACUGUGUGAAUGAAAUUGUCAUGUUUGAAUUUUUCAAGAAUUCACAGAGCUACGAAUUGGUAUAUAUUUUCUUUGUGCUGUAAGUGCUGUGGAUUUAUUGUUACAGGGAGUGUUAUUUUGUUGGUCGGGCAGCGGAUAGUUCAAAAAGGGAGCAACACAAGGAUGCGCCCCUCUCAUUUACAUUGAGUUGAUUAGAUUUGAAUCUGGCUGUGUUUUCCUGUCUUGUUUUAACUAGCAAAGAAAUGUUGAUUUGGGUUGGGCGUGAGUUUCUGCUUGAAUUUGGUUAAAAGGACAGUGUUCAUACUUUGAGAACUUGCUACCGUGUAUCAGACACACAUUGUGUUUUCUCAUAGAGACUAUUCUGAACUGAAGACACAUGUUACCAUGUUGUUUUAGCCUAUUUGGUGAUAGUCAAAUACUCUGUGUUAUUCUGUAAUGUAUAAUGUUUCAUGUACACUAAUUGUUUGAGUGUCAAUUAUUUCAUCAUAUUAGUUAAAUAGAGUAAAUGCAAUCCUCGUUUCACAGAGUAAUUAUUUGAUUGACUAAAUGUUUAUAAUUUAGAAGGUUUAUUGGUAGUUGUUAUUUACACUAUACACUUACAGUACUGUAGCAUAUUGUUGGGUACCACCUUGGCAUCUCUGACCUGCUUGCCUCAAUUAAUUAAUGCUAGAACAGUGGUCGCCAGGAUUAGCUAUUUGUAUCUAGUCUCUUAAUAAUUGCAUAACAGUGCAAGUUAGACAUGUUCAUUAUCGUCGUACUGUCAUUGAUGCAAUGAUUCACUAUCUUGUUAGAUCCUCCAGAGAAGCACAGGGCCUGUUGCAUUCAUUUUUACAGAAAACCACAAACCACCACUGCAAUAUUGGCCUACACUCAGAAAAAAAGGUGCUAUCUACAACCUAAAAGGAUCAUGAUAACAUGCAACAUAGCACC